AGCUUGUUUUAGUUUCGCUUUUAAUUGGACUUAUUUGUUUUCAUUCCACUUUUCUUUGGGUUUGUGGUCAGUUAUGGCCAAUAUUGAGUCGGAAUUGAAUUGUAAUAUAUGCUUGGAUCUUUUAAACGAUCCUCACCAUUAUCCUUGCGGACACAGUUUCUGUCUUCGCUGUAUAAAUGCGCUGAGGAAUAGUGAAAUAUAUGCCUGUCCGGAUUGUAGAAGACAUUGUCCAGACAGGACAGACAUUGUGAAAGACUUCAGACUGACGAAUAUUUUAGAAGCAUAUCGACAAAGUGGAAAUGCUAAGCCUACAAAGAACAUAUGCCAACUUUCAGCAGUAUGGCUGGGGAGACAAGAACCCGGAAUUAUUCUAGUCAUUUUACUCCUGAUGUUCAUUUCUGCAUACGCUAUGUUUCGGCUACAAAGAACAGAACAGGCUCUUCAAGAUUUUCAAGUUUUGACAGACUCCACUCAUCCUGAGACCUCUUGCUCUGCAAAGCUAGAAGGAAGAGAACAUUGUUUUCAAGAUUCUCAGAUUUUAAUGGACUCCUCUCAACCUGAACAAGUAGACAAGGUUGCUGCCUCCCCAGGUCCUCUCCACCUCCUCUUGGCUCCUCUGCGAUGGCUUUGGCUGCUGGUGGAGGGUGUGGUCAUGUGUGUGUGGUGGUUCCUCUCUUCUGUCAUAUGGCUGGUCUUCCAGUGUGUGUGGUUGGUGUUUGAGUGUGUCAGGCUUGUGUUUGUGAGUAUUUGGGAGGUGUUUAGGUCUUGUUUUUGUUUUAUAUUUGGUUUUCUGAUUCAGUUCUUCAGUAUUUUUGUCUACAUUUGUGGACUUGCAUCUAUAGCAAUAUUCAGCAUAGGUUAUCUGAGAAGUGAAAAUCAAGCAGCAACUGGGAGGUAAGAUUCAUGAUCCUCUUGUGUGUUCUCAAGAGCAUGAUGGGCUGUUGGACUGUUGGACUGAUGGACUGAGUCUUAUGAACCUGUUCAUAGAUCAUUAAGAACAUAAUGCUACAUUUGUUCUACUCUCUCAGUGUAAGCCUAUCUAGUCGAGUUGACACACUCAAAAUGUUGGUUGAUGAUCAAUUACAAAUAAUUGCAAUUUAAUGAUCUUUUUCUGUUCAUUUUAUGCUAAUAUUACAGCCCGUACAGCCCAUAUAAGGCCAAACCACCAGUGACUUUUGGGCAACUCUGAGUUUCAAUGUGCUCUGUCUCAACAUUGAGUGUGUAGUGUAGUACAGGACAUUAUGUUCAAUACAGAUGUGUAUGUACCAUGCAGUCUUUAACAGUAAUCAACAGUAGACUUUUUUGCUUGCAGACCAUGUUUCAAAUUCGAGUCUCCACACAAAAAUAUUAAGUGGCCAUAUGUCAGUUUAGUUAAUUAACAAAAACAUUUGACAGAUUUUAAAAGCACCAUUCCUGCUUACAUGUGUUGAGCAUGUCAUUGUCAGUGAAAGUUAUAUCUGUGUAUAUAUGUUUUAAGUGUAAAAAAAAACAUUAUGCAUAUUAGUUGUUCAUAUUAAAACAUAUUUAUUUUAUUUGGCCACAUUGAAUCACAAUACUAAAAGCCAAAUUUGAAAAAAAAAAAAAAGUUAUUUUACUUCUCUUUUGCCUACAGAAAUGAACCACACUAAUAAUGAUAAAUCAGUUCCGUAAAUGCACAGUUUUGUGCUUGAAGCAUUGUCUUUUGACUUCAUAUUGUACUGAGUAUGGACAUUGGUUGAACUGUGUGAGUCCUGUAUAUACUUAUCAAGCCUUGUGACUUUCUUGGAAAUUUUAGCAUUUCAAGUUUAGCACACUCUGUUAAAUAAGAGAAGACAAACUAGGAAAUCUUUAUGAUUUUAUUGAAUAAAAUAAUUGAUUCUAUUGCA